rnacentral:snRNA from 1 species
GCACUCGCUUCGGCAGCACAUAACUAAAAUUGGAACAAUACAGAAAGGAUUAGUAUGGCCCCUGCACAAGGAUUACAGGCCAAUUCGUGAAGCAUUCCAUAGUUUA